CUUCCGCAGGUUCACCUACGGAAGGAUCAUUAUUGAAAUAAAUAUAAUAUGAUGGAAGGAGGUGGGGAGAUGGACUGUCGCUGGCCAGACUAGUCUUGCGUGUGCACGUCCCCCUCGCCUUUUUCUUAUCCUAUACACACACCUGUGAACCUUUUGUAGAUCAUCUCGAAAGAGAGGGAUCUAUGUUUUCUUCACAUCACACACGUCGUAUGGCUAGAAUGAAACAAUACAUAUCAUACAACUUUCAGCAACGGAUCUCUUGGCUCUCGCAUCGAUGAAGAACGCAGCGAAUUGCGAUAAGUAAUGUGAAUUGCAGAUUUCCAGUGAAUCAUCGAAUCUUUGAACGCAUCUUGCGCUCCUUGGUAUUCCGAGGAGCAUGCCUGUUUGAGUGUCAUUGAAUUCUCAACCGUACCAUUUGCGGUAUGGCUUGGAGUUGGGGGUUGCUGGCAGCGAUGUGAGCUCCCCUUGAAUGCAUUAGCGAUCGAGUUGGCUGGUCUUUGACGUGCACGGCCUUGGACGUGAUAAUGAUCGUCCUUGCUGGAGCGUCUUUCCUUAGGACUAUGCACAAAGAUAGCUUCCAAUCACGACAGAGAAAGGGAAGCAAGGGUAGAUAUAGUAUUAGCCUUGAGCUUAGCUACUAGACGGUCUUUACUAAAGGCUGGCGAACGCAAGCAAGACAAAAGGCUCAAGUUGACCCCUUUUUCUCUAUCUCUUGAUUAGAGACUUGACCUCAAAUCAGGUAGGACUACCCGCUGAACUUAAGCAUAUCAAUAAGCGGAGGAA
rnacentral:rRNA from 1 species